rnacentral:rRNA from 1 species
GCUGGCGGCGUGCUUAACACAUGCAAGUCGCACGAGAACGCUUCAGCUUGCUGAAGUUAGUAAAGUGGCGCACGGGUGAGUAACGCGUGGGUAAUCUACCCCCGAAUUGGGGAUAACAUUGCGAAAGCGAUGCUAAUACCGAAUGAUAUCUUAAGUCCUUAGGUAUUUAAGAUCAAAGAUGGCCUCUACAUGUAAGCUAUUGUUUGGGGAUGAGCCCGCGUACCAUUAGCUUGUUGGUAGGGUAAUGGCCUACCAAGGCUGCGAUGGUUAGCUGGUCUGAGAGGAUGAUCAGCCACACUGGAACUGACACACGGUCCAGACUCCUACGGGAGGCAGCAGUGAGGAAUUUUGCGCAAUGGGGGAAACCCUGACGCAGCAACGCCGCGUGAGUGAUGAAGGCUUUCGGGUCGUAAAGCUCUGUCAAGUGGGAAGAACCCACGUGGUGCUAAUAUCACCAUGUGCUGACGGU